UCCGGCUUGACGCCGGCAGUCCCCCGAGAGUCCUCAGCUUUACCUGUUAGUAACACGGGGCAAGGGUUGCGCUCGUUGCGGGACUUAACCCAACAUCUCACGACACGAGCUGACGACAGCCAUGCACCACCUGUGAUCCUGCCCAAAAGGGAAACCGUGUUUCCACGGCGGUCAGGAACAUGUCAAACCCAGGUAAGGUUCUUCGCGUUGCGUCGAAUUAAACCACAUGCUCCGCUGCUUGUGCGGGUCCCCGUCAAUUCCUUUGAGUUUUAGCCUUGCGGCCGUACUCCCCAGGCAGAGCACUUAAUGCGUUAGCUGCGGCACCGGAGGGGUCGUUCCCACCGGCAUCUAGUGCCCAUCGUUUACGGCGUGGACUAC
rnacentral:misc_RNA from 1 species